ensembl:lncRNA
AAUAGUUUCAACAAAUUUGAAUGGUUCAUUUCUAGAAAAUUACUGCCCUGCAUCUUAAUUAAAUUACUUGAUUUGUCUAUCUUACUUCACAUAUCCAACACUUACAUUUAUUUGCUGUUUUUUUUCAGUGGGGCUAAAAUGAAUGGAAACAAAUAAAGCACAACACAGGAACAGUGAGGAAGUAGAUGAAACCUGGUCAUGAGGAUAUGAAUUAUUAUUGAACUCAGCAAAAGUAUAUGCAAGUGAAUGUUUGGAGUAUGGAAAUAAUUCAAGGAACAUAAAUUGAUGAAGGUAAAGGGUCACAAAGAAGUUGAGCCUGGACGUCCAUUGGCCGCAGUCCCUUAGAGACGUACAUUCUGUGGCGUGGCUUUAUCCAUGGCUUUUGCUCAACUUACUUGAGAAGAAAGUAAAACUAUGCAGGUAGGUCUAUGAUUAAUUUAAGUAUUAUACACUACUCAAGAGCAUUC